rnacentral:rRNA from 1 species
GUCUUUUAGAAAAAAAUUAAAAGUCUAAUCUGCCCAAUGAUAAUUAAUAAUUUAAUGGCCGCGGUAAAUUGACCGUGCAAAGGUAGCAUAAUAAAUAGUCUUUUAAUUAGAGGCUUGAAUGAAUGAUUGAAUGAAAAAUUAACUUAAUUAAUAUUAACAAUUGAAAUUGAUUUUUAAGUAAGAAAGCUUAAAUAUGUGAGUGGGACGAGAAGACCCUAUAGAAUUUUUAAAAUCUUUUUAAGUUUAUUUAUUUUAGUAAAUUAACUUUUUUUAUUUAAAUGAUUUUUUUGUUGGGGUGACAUUAAAAUAAAAUUAACUUUUAAUAAAAAUUUCAUAAAUAUAUGUAAAUAUUGAUCCAAGAUUUUUGAUUAAAAGAAUAAAUUACCUUAGGGAUAACAGCGUAAUUAAUUUGGAGAGUUCAAAUCGAUAAAUAUGAUUGCGACCUCGAUGUUGGAUUAAGAAUAGAGACUGGAGCAAAAUUUAUUAUUUCUAGGUCUGUUCGACCUUUAAUAUUCUU